rnacentral:rRNA from 1 species
AGUGAACGCUGGCGGUAGGCCUAACACAUGCAAGUCGAACGGCAGCACAGUAAGAGCUUGCUCUUACGGGUGGCGAGUGGCGGACGGGUGAGGAAUACAUCGGAAUCUACUUUUUCGUGGGGGAUAACGUAGGGAAACUUACGCUACUACCGCAUACGACCUACGGGUGAAAGCAGGGGAUCUUCGGACCUUGCGCGAUUGAAUGAGCCGAUGUCGGAUUAGCUAGUUGGCGGGGUAAAGGCCCACCAAGGCGACGAUCCGUAGCUGGUCUGAGAGGAUGAUCAGCCACACUGGAACUGAGACACGGUCCAGACUCCUACGGGAGGCAGCAGUGGGGAAUAUUGGACAAUGGGCGCAAGCCUGAUCCAGCCAUACCGCGUGAGUGAAGAAGGCCUUCGGGUUGUAAAGCCCUUUUGUUGGGAAAGAAAAGCAGCAUGUUAAUACCCCGCUGUUCUGACGGUACCCAAAGAGUAAGCACCGGCUAACUUCGUG